rnacentral:misc_RNA from 1 species
AUGAUACCCACUGUUAACUAACGCUUUUACCAAGCUGUUUCUACCACCAUGGAGGAAAUUUCAAAAUCUGCUAAGGCGGGGAGUCCUAUCUCACCUGUCACCACCCCGGGCAAUGAGAAGGACUUUGGGCGCAGUAAAAACGAUUCCCUUACAAGUGUUGACAUUCAGGAAAUGGAAAGAGUUCGUUUGUCCUUACAGAGCAUGCUUAAAUCUUCUGAACAUUUUCUUCAAGCUGACAAAACAUCACCAAAGUCAACCCAUACUCCUCCUGAUAAAAUGCGUUUCUCUUCCCGUGACGAAGACAUGUUCCCCACCAUUACCACAGCCAAUCUCAUGAGCAACUAUCUCAACACAGAUACAAAAGAGGUUAGAGUAUCUGGUGAUUCCACAAAGUUCAGUGAAGAUGCAGACGCUGCAAAAAGAUCAAACAAAAACUAUGAUAAAUCUCUGUUGCUUGAGAACACGCUUCUUAACGAAACCCUCCAAAAAGAACGGUCCAAGAGGAAGCAUUGUGAAAAGCAAAUUAAAGUUCUCCAAUCCAAGCUUCUAGAAACCCAACAAGAGCUUGCUGUUGCUGUCUCUGCCGAUAGGAAGAAAGAUGUAAUGAUAAACCAGCUUGAUAAAACACUUGCACACGUGGUUGAAGACUGGAAAAAACACGAGGAAGAAAAAUUCGAUACGAUCAGCAAACUUGAAGUACAACACGACAAUGACGCAAAAUUUCAGCAAAGGCAGCAGGAGAUAUUAGCCCAAUUUGAAAAAGAUUUAUCUUUGGCCGCCGAAGCUUUAUCUCAGGAGCAAGAAAGAGCCGCAAAUGUCGAGAGGGAAAAAGACGCUCGGAUUACUGCUUCACUUCAGGAAAGAGACGAAAUUCUCCACCUUUUAGAGGAAGAGAAAGCCAAGAAUGCAAAUCUAGACAGGGAUUUUGAAUGUCUAGAGGAAGAUGUCCAAAAAGCUCAAGAAUCACAAAAGUUGAUUGAACAGGAAAGACGCAAUUGGCAAGAGGAGAAGUCCCAGUUGGAAUCUCAAAUUGAGCUCAUAACAAAAGCUCACACUGAAGACUUGGAACACGAAAGGACACUCGUUGAGCAAGAAAAGCAAGUUGCCGAGGAUAGUCAGCGUGUACUCAGUGCAGUGCAAAAAGAGGUUCAACAACUAACCGCCCAACUGGACACUUGUUUUCGAGAAAAGGAAAACCUAAAAACCGAGAUAACGCUGCUCACGGCGAAGUUCGAAGCACAACGCACAAGGCAAGAUAGCGAACAUCGAGCAGAGCUGGAAAGACAAACGAGUAAGAGUUUACGAGAUGCCCAGAGCCAGCUGAGCAAAAGUGAAAAUGAAAUAAAAAUUGGUCACAAGAAACAGAUUGACGAGUUAACAAAGAAGUACAAACGUGAUUUGGAAGAACAACUAAACAACUUUCACCGGCAACUGAAAGAGAGCGACAAAAAGUUGCAAGAAACUAACGAAGAAUACGAAGAAAGAUUAGCAAAAUCACACAAAGAUCUGAUGUCUGUGUCAACCGAAAGAGAGACGUUAAGGAAUGAAAAACAUAAGUUGAUCACUCGACUUCAAAAGAUGAUGCAAUCCCACUGUGCGGAAGCAAUGUCUCUGCUGACUGCCACAACGGAAAACUCGACAGUAGGGAUAGUAGGAGCUUUUAAUGAACAUGACUCGACGUGGAUGUUACGACAGACACCAACACUGGUUACAAGUGCCGCGAACAUUGGACCCCUCCGAGAAUCGACUCGUACUUUUCCAUCAUAUGUAACUCCCGACUCACAUGGCCAUGCGAUUCGAUCUUCACUCGUCAGUAACAGAGGUCAACAACAGCAACAACCAAUGCAACAUCCGCCACAUGCAGCCCACGUCGCAAAGAUGGAAAGCGACGAAUCGGUGCACAACUGGGUUAGGCUUCCCACGAUGCCGGCAGAUACAACCACUCACAUCUCGUACCCAAAUACAUCAUACAUCAGCCAUGAACCAAUUGUGAAUGAUGUGAACCGUACGCUACAAGAGAGCGACAUUCAUACACGUCAACGAAAUAAGCACGCUGAACGCUACCAAUCUCAUGACCCUGAUAUCGAGGAAGAGGAGAUUAGUCCAACAACAACAAACGAAAGCCUAUUGGAACAAUCGCCUGAUGAUUUAGAAUCUACUAAACCACAAUCGACCGUGAACCUUAGUGCUGAUGUUUUGAAAAUGCUACAACAACAACAAUCCAGGCAAACUGAACUUAACCACUACGUUCGUCAGCUUUUGAAACAAUCUCCCAGCAACACCAGUAAUGAGGAAUUCACUGAUAUUGCUGCUGUCACAUCGGAUGAUGGAAAUGAGAACAGUAAACCUGAUGGAUUACCAGCUGGGAAACAAGAUAUGCUAUCUAGUGAAUCUACAUAUUCAGACCUUGGUGAUAUGAAACAAAUGGCAUUUACUAAAUCUGCUGCGACGCCUGGUAAACGUUUCAGUAAAAUUCCUAUCGCCCAAACACCGCCAAAUAAAGACAGACCACCUGGGAAAUCUCCGGGGAAAUCAACCCUCACCCCUGAACAAGUAGGACAGUUAACUCGAUUGCUUCAAAUGUACCAAAAAGACAACAUGGACAGUGAGUUACCCUCUCCUCAAAAGAUGUUUCAAUACUUGAGAGAGGUUCAGAUCAGGGGUGAUGUUGAAAGAAUAGAGGCAUCGAAGACGAAGGACCAUGGCAAGCCAAUCAACAAAGAAAGUUUUCUCGAAGAGGCAAUAAACAUCGCGGAACCCGGGAGGAAACAGAGCAAAGCUAAAAGAAAGCUGGAAGUUAAUACCCAACAAGGAAAAAUAAUGGACGUUCCUAUCCAAAGAUAUGAACCAACAAACGACGGCAGUGUUUCCAGGAUCAACUUUCCUCAAGACGAAACAAGACGACCAGCCACUUAGUCGCAAGAGUCCAACAUGCAAGAGAGAAAUUCAGUAGAACUCGGUGGUUUUCCAUCAUCUAGCACUGCGCCUGCCAGAGUCGGGGUUAAAAGAAUAUCAAGAUCAUCGGUUAAAAGAACGCUGCGACAUGUUUUCUGUAUGAAAACAGCGAAUGUGUUGGCCAUCUCGGUUGUCAUAUGCCUUGUUAUUCUUCGUCUGUUUUGUUUCAUUGUUUUCGCUAUUUUUGACAUGACAUGUUUUGCGU